rnacentral:rRNA from 1 species
GAAAACGACUGCUAAGACUGGAUAGGAAGUUUUAAGGCAUCUUGAAACUUUUAAAAGACCCGCAAGGGUAUGCUAAGAGAUGGGCUUGCGGCACAUUAGUUAGUUGGUAAGGUAACGGCUUACCAAGACUAUGAUGUGUAGCUGGACUGAGAGGUUGAACGGCCACAUUGGGAUUGAGAUACGGCCCAAACUCCUACGGGAGGCAGCAGUAAGGAAUUUUCGGCAAUGGAGGAAACUCUGACCGAGCAACGCCGCGUGUACGAUGAAAUAUUUAGGUAUGUAAAGUUCUUUUAUUAAAGAAGAAAAAAUGAUGGAAAAAUCAUUCUGACGGUAUUUAAUGAAUAAGCCCCGGCUAACUAUGUGCCAGCAGCUGCGGUAAUACAUGGGGGGCAAGCGUUAUCCGGAUUUAUUGGGCGUAAAGGGUGUGUAGGCGGUUUAAUAAGUCUAUGGUAUAAGUUCAACGCUUAACGUUGUGAUGCUAUGGAAACUGUUUGACUAGAGUUGGAUAGAGGCAAGUGGAAUUCCAUGUGUAGCGGUAAAAUGCGUAAAUAUAUGGAGGAACACCAGUAGCGAAGGCGGCUUGCUGGGUCUUAACUGACGCUGAGGCACGAAAGCGUGGGGAGCAAACAGGAUUAGAUACCCUGGUAGUCCACGCCGUAAACGAUGAGUACUAAGUGUUGGGUUAAACCAGUGCUGAAGUUAACACAUUAAGUACUCCGCCUGAGUAGUACGUACGCAAGUAUGAAACUUAAAGGAAUUGACGGGACUCCGCACAAGCGGUGGAUCAUGUUGUUUAAUUCGAAGAUACACGAAAAACCUUACCAGGUCUUGACAUACUCUGCAAAGCUAUAGAAAUAUAGUGGAGGUUAUCAGGGAUACAGGUGGUGCAUGGUUGUCGUCAGCUCGUGUCGUGAGAUGUUGGGUUAAGUCCCGCAACGAGCGCAACCCUUAUCGCUAGUUACCAUCAUUUAGUUGGGCACUUUAGUGAGACUGCCAAUGAUAAAUUGGAGGAAGGUGGGGAUUACGUCACAUCAUCAUGCCCCUUAUGACCUGGGCUACAAACGUGAUACAAUGGCUGUUACAAAGAGUAGCUGAAGCGUGAGUUUUUAGCAAAUCUCAAAAAAACAGUCUCAGUUCGGAUUGAAGUUUGCAACUCGACUUCAUGAAGUCGGAAUCGCUAGUAAUCGCGAAUCAGCAUGUCGUGGUGAAUACGUUCACGGGGUUGUACACACCGCCCGUCA